rnacentral:rRNA from 1 species
AUUGAACGCUAGCGGGAUGCUUUACACAUGCAAGUCGAACGAGUGGCGGCCGGGUGAGUAAUAUAUCGGAACGUGCCCAGUAGCGGGGGAUAACUACUCGAAAGAGUGGCUAAUCACGCAUCCUAUUGGAGCGGCCGAUAUCGGAUUAGCUAGUUGGUUGGGUAAAGGCUCACCAAGGCGACGAUCCGUAGCUGGUUUGAGAGGACGACCAGCCACACGGGGACUGAGACACGGCCCAGACUCCGACGGGAGGCAGCAGUGGGGAAUUUUGGACAAUGGGGGAAACCCGGAUCCAGCCAUCCCGGGUGGAUGAGAAGGCCUUCGGGUUGUAAAGUACUUUUGGCAGAGAAGCGGUAUCUGCAGAAUAAGCACCGGCUAACUACGUGCCAGCAGCCGCGGUAAUUC